CAUUAAAUGUCUGAAAGCAAGAAAUGGUCUCUUAAACCAUAUUAUAGUAAAUUAGCAAUUACUUUUAAUG
rnacentral:tRNA from 1 species